AUCGAAGCCUGUAACCGCCUCCGGGCGUGACGGGUGGCUGGUAUCCUCCUUCUGAGGGGUGUAUGUUGCAGCUUGGGCCGGCCCUUAGGGGCCGCGAAUCCCCAACACUGCGGCGGACCAUCCCUUGGGCAACUCAGUGGGGGCAAUUGGAUGGCUCGUAGGCAUCUUCGGCGGCUUCGGCCUUGGAGGUGGCUCGGGCCGGGUGCUGGGCUGCGGUCCACGUCCCGACCUUUUAACUAGCUCUGAUACCUCUUCAUUGAGGGUUGCCGGGGAGGUCUUUCGUUCCCCGGGGCGGAAGGCCUACCCGGGAAAGAUAGUUACCUGGUUGAUUCUGCCAGUAGUCAUAUGCUUGUCUCAA
rnacentral:misc_RNA from 1 species